ACGCCCACACAGUGCCCCCACGCCCACACAGUGCCCCCACGCCUCCACGCCCAUCCAGUGCCCCCACGCCUCCACGCCCAUCCAGUGCCCCCACGCCUCCACGCCCAUCCAGUGCGUAUUACAAGCUUACCCAUGUCAAGUUUACCUGUUUCAAGCUUUUUGUGGCUGAGGUGACAGCUUGGUAUUACUCCAGAAUCACACCCAAGCUUACCCAUGUCAAGUUUACCUGUUUCAAGCUUUUUGUGGCUGAGGUGACAGCUUGGUAACAUUCCAGAAUCACACCCAAGCUUACCCAUGUCAAGUUAACCUGUUUCAAGCUUUUUGUGGCUGAGGUGACAGCUUGGUAUUACUCCAGAAUCACACCCAAGCUUACCCAUGUCAAGUUUACCUGUUUCAAGCUUUUUGUGGCUGAGGUGACAGCUUGGUAACAUUCCAGAAUCACACCCAAGCUUACCCAUGUCAAGUUUACCUGUUUCAAGCUUUUUGUGGCUGAGGUGACAGCUUGGUAACAUUCCAGAAUCACACCCAAGCUUACCCAUGUCAAGUUUACCUGUUUCAAGCUUUUUGUGGCUGAGGUGACAGCUUGGUAAUAUUCCAGAAUCACACCCAAGCUUACCCAUGUCAAGUUUACCUGUUUCAAGCUUUUUGUGGCUGAGGUGACAGCUUGGUAAUAUUCCAGAAUCACACCCAAGCUUACCCAUGUCAAGUUUACCUGUUUCAAGCUUUUUGUGGCUGAGGUGACAGCUUGGUAAUAUUCCAGAAUCACACCCAAGCUUACCCAUGUCAAGUUU